rnacentral:misc_RNA from 1 species
UUGCAUUCAGCUUUGGUGCAAUCCAGAGAGAUCGAUUUGAAGAAAAAAGGGCAGGUUCAGGAGGCACUGAAUUACUACUCCAUAGAAUCUUCCUUUGCCCUUCUUAUCUCCUUUAUGAUCAAUUUGUUUGUUACAACUGUCUUUGCCAAGGGAUUUUAUGGCAGUGAGCAAGCUGGUAGUUUAGGCCUUGUAAAUGCAGGGCAGUUUCUUCAAGACAAGUAUGGUGGGGGACUGUUCCCAAUUCUCUAUAUUUGGGGCAUUGGGUUACUGGCAGCUGGGCAGAGUAGUACGAUAACUGGUACUUAUGCUGGACAGUUUAUUAUGGGAGGUUUUCUAGAUCUACGUUUGAAGAAAUGGCUUAGGGCACUGAUUACUCGAAGUUGUGCCAUUGUGCCAACAAUCAUUGUCGCUCUGAUUUUUAAUAGAUCUGAAUCAUCACUCGACGUUUUGAAUGAGUGGCUUAACGUGCUUCAGUCUAUACAGAUCCCUUUUGCGCUUAUUCCCCUUCUGACAUUGGUGUCCAAGGAGGAUAUAAUGGGUACUUUCAAAAUUGGGCCUGCUCUCGAGAGAGUUGCAUGGACAAUUGCUGUACUUGUGAUGGUGAUAAACGGCUAUCUUUUGCUGGACUUCUUUGUCUCUGAGGUCAACGGACCACUGUUUGCUUUUCUGGUUUGUGCUGGGACUGCAGGUUAUGUUGCCUUCAUUUUAUACCUUAUUUCACAUGGGGGUGGCAAUGUUGCCAACUGGUUCAACCUACUCCGCACAAAAGGAUAUAGCUAUGCUGGUCAAUGAGACAUCUAAGACAAUACAUUCAAUCAAAUCCAGACGUCGUAAAUAUAGUAAAUCACUACAUUGCAGAGAGGCCAUGGCCAUGGGGAAGUUUGAUUACUGAAGCAUUCUUUUCAUCUGAAGAGGUUCCAAUUUCUUUAUGUCCUAACUGUCAUAAUAGCUUUUGAGAAACUGCCAGCGUUUGCUUUUAGCUGUAGGUUCCCCAAAAGAAAUAAUGGAGCAAACUAUCCCGGAUAUUGACAACAGUUAUAUAUAGAGGAUGAAGAAAGUAUAUAGUCCGCCGGAUGAAGAUACUUGUUCAUUGCAGGCGUAAACAAUCCACAAAAAAAUGUUGUAUUUAUCGAAUAGAGACG